rnacentral:rRNA from 1 species
UACGGGGGGGGCAAGCGUUGUUCGGAAUUACUGGGCGUAAAGGGUUUGUAGGCGGCCAACUAAGUCAGACGUGAAAUCCCUCGGCUUAACCGGGGAACUGCGUCUGAUACUGGUUGGCUUGAGUGCGGGAGAGGAAUGCGGAAUUCCAGGUGUAGCGGUGAAAUGCGUAGAUAUCUGGAGGAACACCGGUGGCGAAGGCGGAAUUCUGGACUGCAACUGACGCUGAAGCACGAAAGCCAGGGGAGCGAACGGG